rnacentral:ncRNA from 1 species
AGCUAACGCGAUAAGUGUACCGCCUGGGGAAGUACGGUCGCAAGACUAAAACUCAAAGGAAUUGACGGGGGCCCGCACAAGCGGUGGAGCAUGUGGCUUAAUUCGAGGCAACGCGAAGAACCUUACCCGGGUUUGACAUUGAGCGACGUUCGGUGAAAGUCGAAUUCCCUUCGGGGCGCAAAAACAGGUGCUGCAUGGCUGUCGUCAGCUCGUGCUGUGAAGUGUUCGGUUAAGUCCGGCAACGAGCGCAACCCAUAUCCUUACUUGCUAACAGGUAAUGCUGAGAACCUUAAGGAGACUGCCCGUGUUAAGCGGGAGGAAGGUGUGGACGACGUCAAGUCAGUAUGGCCCUUACACCCGGGGCUGCACACGUGCUACAAUGGCCGGUACAAAGGGCAGCGACAUAGUGAUAUGGAGCGAAUCCCCAAAACCGGUCUCAGUACGGAUUGGAGUCUGCAACUCGACUCCAUGAAGAUGGAAUCGCUAGUAAAUGGGCAUCAGCUACGGCUCAUUGAAUACGUUCCCGGGCCUUGUACACACCGCCCGUCACAUCAUGGGAGCUGAGUUCACCCGAAGUCGUUGCGCCAACCUGCUUGCAGGAGGCAGACGCCGAAGGUGGGCUUAGUGACUGGGAUGAAGUCGUAACAAGGUAGCCGUUGGGGAACCAGCGGCUGGAUCACCUCCUUU